rnacentral:lncRNA from 1 species
UGUUCGCAUAAUGAAAAAAAAGGAAGCAGUUGCCAUUACGUUUGUGGAUUCAAAUACCCAUCAGUAUCUUAGACGAACGGCUUCCGUCGUUCUGCAACUGAGCACAGGAGAUGAUGUGUGGUGCCAGACGGAAGAUGUUAAUGGUUCAAAUACUAUUGUAGGUGGGAACACAUAUUCAAUGUUCUCAGGAUUUCUUAUUCACUCAGUGUGAUUUCGGUGGUUCUUUCGUAUAAAAAAAAUGUAGCUUAUUUUUUAUAGCAGUAAAAAACUUUUACAUCAUGCUUGAUAUAGUUUUAAGCAUCAAGUUACAAGUCACUGUCAUUUACAUAUUUCUAUUUUGUUUUUAUUCCAUUUAAUUUUAUGUCAAUUCGAUCAGCAUUCCUAACUUAAGUUUGACAUUAGGGAAACUACAGGAUCGUUAAUAUAGUGAUUUGUUCUAUGCUUGAUUUUAUUUAUUUCAAAUCUGAGUAUUGUAAGAGUACAUAUCUAACAUAUGUCUACUAGCACAAUUUGGUAAUUAAUUUACUGAUCGGUGCAUAAAAAAGUGAAAAGUUACUAUUUUUAUAUGUGGAGACAAAUAAAGUUAAUAAUUUGGUCUGCAAUUUCGUUAAAGUAGAAAAGUACCACACGAUUUUCUAAAUUUUCAAAUUUAGUUCUACAAUUUUAAAAUAACGUUUAUAAAACAAAACAUGAUAUCGAUUCAAUUCUAAUAUCAUUUGACAUUUUUGUUUACUGCUUUAUUUAAAAGAGUUGUUAUUGUCUUUUCUUUUCUCUUUUUAUGGGAUGAGGAAGGACAAUCAGAAUAAUCUCAGUUGGAAUGUCUUGUCUGUCAACUGAACAUUGAACAACUUAUUAUAUAUGGUUAUACUAAUUAAUCUAAAGACCACCUAACAAACGUAUAACUGAACAAAGCUACAAGAUACUUCACCCUCGAUUACAGUUUCAAACAAUAAGCAAUUAGACAAAUUAAUAAUAAGUUCCGGAACUAUCCGACUUUCUUUUUGUCAUGUCAUAAAUGUAUAUGUCACAUGUUACCUAUUUCCUUAUCUGUACGUUUCGCAAUUUAAAUUGCUUAAUUUUUUGAGGGAUGUAUAAGUACCAAGCCACGUUCAACUAGUUUACUUCAGUCAAAAUUUAUUAUUAUAUUUUAACGGCCGUUUGUUUUAAACAUCGCAGACUAUAAUGUAACUACACUACCGUUGUCAAAUCUGAAAUAUUUACAAGUUUAGACCGUUCAGUGCUGUUUAUUUGGAAUUCUUAUUGACGCAAUUUCUCUUGUAACAUCAUAAUUGUCG